rnacentral:piRNA from 1 species
CAUAAGGAUAAUUUAAUGUAGUUGA